AGGUAUACAUUAGGAUUCGAUCAUCUUGACUAGUGAUGAGGUAUACAUUAGGAUUCGAUCAUCUUGACUAGUGAUGAGGUAUACAUUAGGAUUCGAUCAUCUUGACUAGUGAUGAGGUAUACAUUAGGAUUCGAUCAUCUUGACUAGUGAUGAGGUAUACAUUAGGAUUCGAUCAUCUUGACUAGUGAUGAGGUAUACAUUAGGAUUCGAUCAUCUUGACUAGUGAUGAGGUCUACAUUAGGAUUCGAUCAUCUUGACUAGUGAUGAGGUAUACAUUAGGAUUCGAUCAUCUUGACUAGUGAUGAGGUAUACAUUAGGAUUCGAUCAUCUUGACUAGUGAUGAGGUAUACAUUAGGAUUCGAUCAUCUUGACUAGUGAUGAGGUAUACAUUAGGAUUCGAAAUGCAUGAUUGUUAAAUCACUACAGUUGCUUACUAUAUAUACUGUAAUACUUACCAAUGUUUUGUUAUGAUAACUAAUUCUGACUUUCAGGCAAAAGAGGUUACAGAGGACGAGAAAUUCUCCUUUGAU